ACCUUUAAUCUGUAGAAAUUGAACUUUUCUUGAGUCAAGUUUUUGGUAUUUAUAAACAUUUGUUUUUACGUGAAUGAAAAUUAUUAGAAAUAUUUCGGCAAAAUGAAUAAUACCAGUAUACAUGUACAAAUUUAUAAAAGCGUCAAAUGUAUUUAUGAAAAGAAUAAUAGUGUAGAUGCAAGUAAUCUGAAUCACUUAAUUUCUUGUUUGAAUGCCACACAAAUUGAAAUCAAUGAUUUUUUAACUAGCCUCGUUGUGGAACAAGACAGUUCUAUUGAUACAGGAAUUUUAGAUCGGCUAGCGUCGGAAAGCGAUUCGGAUUUCGAAAACGAAGUUGAAGUUAACCCUAAAAAAUCUAAACUAACGGACUAAUAAUUUUG